GACAGAAAUCCACUUCAUCCUUCCAACAGGCAAGCAAGUCCAGUGGAUUUGUACCCUUCCAGUGUCCUACUUCAAAGCUGCUUAGAAAAAUACGCCAUUUGC